rnacentral:lncRNA from 1 species
AUGCAGCAGUGGCUGCUGGGCUUGGCCACUAAGCACAAGUGGUGGCUUCUCUUUCAAAUGACACAAGUUCUGUCCUCCUGUCUCUGCUCCCCCCUCAGCCUCCUGCCUGGCUCAGGCCCGCUGGAAGCAGCUGCCAGUCCACAAUUAACAGGCGCUAAUUGGGCUUCCAGGGGGGCUGCAGCUCAGCCUGCUCGGCCCAUUCACACUGGGAAUCCCAGAAUCACGAGGGGUUUGGGCUGGAGGGACCUUAAAGGCCAUGUCACCCCAUCCCCUGCACUGCCAGUGCCAGGUCCCCAGGUGCCACAUCUCAAACUCUGCCCGGAGAUCCAGGCACAGCCUUGUCCGAGGGGAGACCCCCUGUGCGCCCCUCAGAGCUGUCCUGGGACCCCGGCCCGUGGGAAGGAGCUUUGGGACACACCGGGGGCAGCAAAGGCUUCCACAGGCCCAAAUCCACAGGAGAGCCCUUGGAUCCCAAAACAGCCUCUGGAUGAGGAGCCCCGAGGGAUGCAGAUGUGGAUGCAGAUGUGGAUGUGGAUGCAGGAUGCUCCAGUCCCUGCUGCCCCCACCACCUGUGACCACCUGUGGCCUCAGCCUGCAGUGGGGGCUCCCCAGGUCACCAAGGAGAGGAACCAUCUCCACAGAGAGACACAGGUUGCCCCAUGCCAGAUGUACCCACAGGCUCUUGGUGCCAUGCCAAGACCUUCAUGGAAAAAUUUUGUCUGGGUAAGCAUCAAGUCAGCCAAGUCUCUGAUGAUGCUGAACCGCUCCAGGACCAGCUGUGAAAAUCUGCAGAGGACCCUGGUGCAGGAGCCUGGGCAGGAAGGAGGAAAGGCAUGGCUGUGCCUCAGAUUCCUGAUACCCACUGGAGCAAGAAAGUUAAACAAGGAUCAGACCAGGAUGUGUCUGGGAAGAGGCAGUGCCCUUCUGGGCAGCACUGUUUUGGGGCAGCACCGUUUUGGGGCCAACUUCCCUGUUCUGGUCUGUGGUGACCGAACAACACGGAGGACAGCCCCAGGGCAGGAGUGGGGUCAUGCAGUGGGCAUGAACUGCUGACUGAGGGUACAUCCAGUAGAGAGGGAUCUGCAAAAGACCCCAAAGCCCCUUGACCCAUUUCCCAAAAGGCCCAGAAGAGCAGAGUGCACGUGCUCAUGUGUACAUGAAGAGCAGGGAACCCGAGGCCAGGGUGAGGAAACACAAAGUGCCCCCAAAGCCCAGGCAGUGCCCCAGGACCGCCCUGUUUGGGUCAGGGCUGGAGCAUUGACCCAAAUGCAGGACUGGUGUUCUCCUUUCCCAGCCAAUCUCUCCUUCACACUCUUCUGCCUCCCUCUUUUAUUUCACUCUUUUAUUUCUCCCACCAUUACUAUGUAGGGGAAAACAUGCAUCCAUUUCCAUGCCAGGUGUGGAGCUGGCCAAUAAAACUUGGUGAGCUCUGGUUUUUGGACCCCUC